GUCUAAAGUCAUCCCUGCUGGUCAUCUGGAGGAAUCUGAGAAGGGGCAGGUCUUUCUUCUGACUCUCAGAGCAGCACCCUCUGCUGGACAGGGCUGGGCACCUCAUCUCAAGCCCAAUCUGAUCCACCAACAGGGUCUGUUAUCUCCGGUCCGGGGAAGAGCUGCACUAAUCUAGACCAGGGAUCCCCACCCCUGGGCUGCGGACCGGUCCCCAUGGGUGGCCUGUUAGGAACUGGACCGCACAUCAGGAGGUGAGCAGUGGGUGAGGGCGCAUGACCACCUGAGCUCUGCCUCCUGUGAGAUCAGCAGCGCCACUGCAUCUCAGAGGAGUGCCAACCCUACUGUGAACUGUGCAUGCGAAGGAUCUGGGUUGCAUGCUCUUUAUGAGAUCAAACUAAUGCCUGAUGAUCUCAGGUGGAACAGUUUAAUCCUGAAACCAUCCCCCCGUCUGUGGAAAAACUGCCUUCCACCAAACCAGUCCCUGGUGCCAAAAACGCUGGGAACCGCUAAUCUAGACAGUUCUCUGCUA
rnacentral:lncRNA from 10 species